ACAAACUUGGUCAUUUAGAGGAAGUAAAAGUCGUAACAAGGUCUCCGUAGGUGAACCUGCGGAGGGAUCAUUACAAAUUGCUUUUCGAAGCGUCAAACCUGUUUAUUUACCUGUUGCUUAGGCGGUGCCCCUGGGAGGGGAGUUGUCGUGAGCUGCCGCGAGGCUGUGAGCGACCGCCGCCGAAAGCCCACUUUACUACAGUCACUGUCUAUCAGAAAACGAAAACAUUAAAACCUCAACAACGGAUCUCUUGGUUACAGCAUCGAUGAAGAACGCAGC
rnacentral:misc_RNA from 1 species